UGGGACAGAUUUUGGGUGGAAAUUUUUGGGAAUUUUGAGGGGAUUUUGAGGAGAUUUUGGGGUGAAUUUAGGAAGGAUUUUGGGGUGAAUUUGGGGUUUUUUGGUGCUUCCAGGACCACCUGCUCCUCCCAGCCCGGAGCCACAACAAAACCUCGAGGCCCAAAAUGUCCCUGGUGAUGCCGGCGGCCGCUCUCAACGAGUCCCUGCGUGGCCCCCAGCCCAUGAUGCAGGUGGACUGCGAGGUGAUGGACACGCGCGUCAUCCACCUGCGCCGCCGGGCCACGCCCCCAACGCGGGCCACGCCCACCCGCAGGCCCCGCCCAAUCACCUUGGCGGGAGACGGCGGCUGAGACACGCCCACUUCUGGGGAAAGACACGCCCCCUUCGCGAUAUGUGCAGGUCGAGGCCACGCCCCCUUGAUGGGAUCAAGAGAUUAAGCCACGCCCCCAAUUGUAAUGAGUUUAAGCCACGCCCCUUUAACACAGUGGGUGAGGCCACACCCCCUUAAAACCCCAUUUAAGCCACACCUCCUAAAAAUAA